UUUGAUAUGCCCUUUUGGUAUGCCAAGAUGAAAAACUGCUCAUGACAGUGCAGAUUCCUCAAUACAGAAAAUUUAAAGAAUCAAGUUAGAAUAUUCAGCUGUGAAUUUUCUUUAAUCAGCUGCCGCUUGUGCUAAAGAGAAGUAGAAACUUCUAGCAAGUCCUAGUGUCUGAGCAAUACAGAAUGCAAGGCCUAAACCUGUCCUCUCUUAGGGUAGAGGAAUUUGCCAGAAGAACAUUCUUCCAUGAACCUGGAAUCUGGACUGCCAUCUCUUGCAUUCAACUCAUCCUUUUCUCAAAGUCCCAAUACAAAACAGCAUGUAUCAGAUGGCCCUCAGAUAAAGACAAGAAACCAUCU